CUUCUCUAUUACACGUUUAAGAUUCACGUUUCCAAAAAUUUAUUUAUAUUUUGUAGAAAUUCCAUUACCAAAAAUGUGAAAAAUAAAUCUGUAGAUGUUACCACCAUAGAAGACGCAGCUGCAUUCAAGGCGCGUCGAUGGAUCGCUGUACGACCGUGCGCACAGAGUUGCCAGCCAGAUGAACGCAUAGCAUCGCAUUUGUUUACAAUAAGCAUAGAUUUGAUAAUUGUUGUUUAAUGCAGACGGAUGCAACAGGAUGAGGGCCCAGUCUCGGAUGAGAGCGGGACCUACAGCCUGAACAAGAAGGCGCAACAAAUUUUGCCGAGUCCCUCACCAAGCUGCCUGCAACUCGAAGCUACUCCGCCUCCGUGGAUCUGUGAUGGGGAUCUGGUAUGAAUACUCUGGCACAGCAACACAACCAGAGAGAUGACAACCCCCUGGCACUGCUUCCUUAAUAGGUGUCUUCUCGCUGGAUCCCACGAAGCCGCUGUAGGAUGCGACAAUCGACACUGAGCGAAGGCGGAAAAGCAGAGAAGGGCAGUCCUCUACGGAUGCCAGCAGCCCGUUUACGGCUGUGAUUUUCGUCAGCUACUCGGAGGACUCCACACAGAGCGGCUGUGGUGCGGCUCCGGCGUUCCUGCACCCAUUGGGUAGUACAAUAUUUGACAUACAGGUCCCUCACCAAGCUGCCUGCAACUCGAAGCUACUCCGCCUCCGUGGAUCUGUGAUGGGGAUCUGGUGUCUUCUCGCUGGAUGCCACGAAGCCGCUGUAGGAUGCGACAAUCGACACUGAGCGAAGGCGGAAAAGCAGAGAAGGGCAGUCCUCUACGGAUGCCAGCAGCCCGUUUACGGCUGUGAUUUUCGUCAGCUACUCGGAGGACUCCACACAGAGCGGCUGUGGUGCGGCUCCGGCGUUCCUGCACCCAUUGGGUAGUACAAUAUUUGACAUACAGGUCCCUCACCAAGCUGCCUGCAACUCGAAGCUACUCCGCCUCCGUGGAUCUGUGAUGGGGAUCUGGUAUGAAUACUCUGGCACAGCAACACAACCAGAGAAAUGACAAACCACUGGCACUGCUUCCUUAGUAGGUGUCUUCUGGCUGGAUCCCACGAAGACGCUGUAGGAUGCGACAAUCGACACUGAGCGAAGGCGGAAAAGCAGAGAAGGGCAGUCCUCUACGGAUGCCAGGAGCUCGUUUACGGCUGUGAUUUUCGUCAGCUGCUCGGAGGACUCCACACAGAGCGGCUGUGGUGCGGCUCCGGCGUUCCUGCA
rnacentral:misc_RNA from 1 species